AUUGAACGCUGGCGGCAUGCUUUACACAUGCAAGUCGAACGGCAGCACGGACUUCGGUCUGGUGGCGAGUGGCGAACGGGUGAGUAAUACAUCGGAACGUACCCAGUAAUGGGGGAUAACUAUCCGAAAGGAUAGCUAAUACCGCAUACGCCCUACGGGGGAGAGAGGGGGAUCGCAAGACCUCUUGUUAUUGGAGCGGCCGAUGGCUGAUUAGCUAGUUGGUGAGGUAAAGUCUCACCAAGGCGGCGAUCAGUAGCGGGUCUUAGAGGACGCUCCGCCACACUGGAACUGAGACACGGUCCAGACUCCUACGGGAGGCAGCAGUGGGGAAUCUUGGACAAUGGGCGCAAGCCUGAUCCAGCAAUGCCGCGUGCGUGAAGAAGGCCUUCGGGUUGUAAAGCGCUUUUGUCAGGGAGCAAAUCCUUGUGGCUAAUACCCACCGGGGAUGAGAGUACCUGAAGAAUAAGGACCGGCUAACUACGUGCCAGCCGCCGCCGUAA
rnacentral:rRNA from 1 species